rnacentral:lncRNA from 1 species
UCGGGCCCGGAAGUUAACCUCAGCCCUCGGCGCGGCGCUCUGGCCGUAAGAACCAAUCGGAAGCGGCAUUUGAGCCGGGCUUGGGGAGGCCGAUUCUCAGUGGGCCUGAGGGGUGUUGCGUCAUUCACUUCUUAACCAAUCAGAUCACUUCUUCGACUUCGUUUCCUGCGCGCCGGGGCGUUUGUAGGCCGACGGCGGAACCUGCGCGCGCAGGACUUUCUUCACUUUGACACCUUAGUGUUGUGCUAAAUUUGAUCAUCUGGGCCAACUCAACUUUUCUAUGAUGGGAGGAAAUCUCACAAAGCAAAUUACAUAUUGGGCAUUUCUUUGUUCCAGGGUAGAUCUUUUCCAGGAUAAUACUGCAUUGGAAUCUGAAAAAAAGCAAAUGCUUCUAAACUCUGAAGCUUUUAAUAAACUCCAUGUCACCGCAACAUCAAAAUUUGCACGGACUGUGAAGACCAGGUAUUCCUUCCUGAGUGUAAUCACUCAGGUGUAGGAGACAAAAUCAAAGACAGGAUCUUUUUCCAGUGGUUUCAACAUUAUAAGCAUGUAUGCAUAUGUGUGUAAAAUAUUUUUACAUUGUGACAAAUGCCAUAAUGUACAAAGCUUAAAUGUAUAUUUCAAAGAAUAAACAUAAACCAUACAUGCA